rnacentral:rRNA from 1 species
CCUACGGGCGGCUGCAGUGGGGAAUAUUGGACAAUGGGGGCAACCCUGAUCCAGCCAUGCCGCGUGUGUGAAGAAGGCCCUCGGGUUGUAAAGCACUUUCAGUGAGGAAGAACGCCUGGUGGUUAAUACCCAUCAGGAAAGACAUCACUCACAGAAGAAGCACCGGCUAACUCCGUGCCAGCAGCCGCGGUAAUACGGAGGGUGCGAGCGUUAAUCGGAAUUACUGGGCGUAAAGCGCGCGUAGGUGGCUUGAUAAGCCGGUUGUGAAAGCCCCGGGCUCAACCUGGGAACGGCAUCCGGAACUGUCAAGCUAGAGUGCAGGAGAGGAAGGUAGAAUUCCCGGUGUAGCGGUGAAAUGCGUAGAGAUCGGGAGGAAUACCAGUGGCGAAGGCGGCCUUCUGGACUGACACUGACACUGAGGUGCGAAAGCGUGGGUAGCAAACAGGAUUAGAUACUCUUGUAGUC